UACGUAGGGUGCAAGCGUUAAUCGGAAUUACUGGGCGUAAAGCGUGCGCAGGCGGCUUGCAAGACAGAUGUGAAAUCCCCGGGCUCAACCUGGGAACUGCAUUUGUGACUGCAUGGCUAGAGUGCGGCAGGAGGGGGAUGGAAUUCCGCGUGUAGCAGUGAAAUGCGUAGAUAUGCGGAGGAACACCGAUGGCGAAGGCAAUCCCCUGGGCCUGCACUGA
rnacentral:rRNA from 1 species